ACUCAAAUGAAUUGACGGGGGCCCGCACAAGCGGUGGAGCAUGUGGUUUAAUUCGAAGCAACGCGAAGAACCUUACCAAGGCUUGACAUCCCGAUGUAAACUCUAGAGAUAGAGUCCCUCUUCGGAGCAUCGGUGACAGGUGGUGCAUGGUUGUCGUCAGCUCGUGUCGUGAGAUGUUGGGUUAAGUCCCGCAACGAGCGCAACCCUUAUGUUUAGUAGCCAUCAUUUAGUUGGGCACUCUAGACAGACUGCCGUGGAUAACACGGAGGAAGGUGGGGAUGACGUCAAAUCAUCAUGCCCUUUAUGCCUUGGGCUACACACGUGCUACAAUGGGGACUACAAAGUGACGCUAGCAGGCGACUGUACGCAAAUCACAAAAAAGUCUUCUCAGUUCGGAUUGGAGUCUGCAACUCGACUCCAUGAAGUUGGAAUCGCUAGUAAUCGUGAAUCAGCAUGUCACGGUGAAUACGUUCCCGGGCCUUGUACACACCGCCCGU
rnacentral:rRNA from 1 species